UAUAUUUUAUAAAAAAGGAAAAUAGAAGCACAGAGUAACUUGCACAAAGUCACCAAACUAGAGAGUGGCAAAGCUAGGAUUCAAAUCGGGCCGUGUAUUUCAAGAGUCCAAACUCUUACCCACGGGACUCUACUUCACUGCCCUAUUCUCAGUGGAAAAGCCCAUUUUCAAGGUCCAUCUCAAGUGUCAGAUAACAGUCAUGAAGCUUUUCCUGACUUCUUGACCCCUUCCAUAGAUUGCAUUAAUCUUUCCCUUUUCUGAACUCUUGCUAUGCUUUCUCUGCAUUUCUCUUUUGACAUUUAUGUUUGUAGUACGUAUUAUAUUAUUUAUGGCUUUAAAAAAAUCUCUCCUAUUUGACUAAGAGCCUGUGAAGGCAGGAUCCAAAUUUCAUUUGUCUCUGUGCCCUGAACAAUGUCCAGUACAAGAUUUUACACAUGUAAAGGGGAUGGUUGAAUAAAUUAAUGACCGUUUAACAUCUGAAAGUUUGUAUGGGGCAGAAGGAAUGAACUUGUGGAGUGUGGGAAGAAUUAGGAUCAUUGGGAAGAAAUCAUGGGAAGGAAUAUUUUUUGGCUGAUACUGGAAAAAACGAACAUGAUUUCUCAAAAGUGGAAUAGGUUGCUUCCUGAGAGCAUGGAGCACAGAGGCUGUGCCUGGGAAGUACAAGUAACAACUUGAUGGGAAUGUUGUAAGGGGAUUUGCCCAUCUGUUGGCGCCUGAGAUUUGAAGAACACUUAGAUCCUUUCUAAUUCUAUGAUGCUUUGAUCCCUCAGUGGGAUGUGAUUAUUUCUCCUCCUGAAUUCACAUAGUUUUUAAUGGUACACAUGUUAUUCUAUCAUGUGAUUUUUGUUUGCAUGUUUUAAUGCUCUUAAGGAUCUUAACUUAGGUGUUAAGAAUUUGGAUGAAAAUGAAAUGUGAAUAAAUGGAAUUUUAGCCAGGGGACCUCACAUACUCAAACCAUAGCUUGGCUCUUCUUCUACUCUACAAGAGGUUACCAAAAAAACUACAACAAAACAAACAACAACCUCUUAGGAAAAUGGAUGACGAGACCUAAAUCCAAUACUGACUCUAAAAGUCAGUAACCCUAAUAGCUUUUUACCAAAGCAUCUAUGUCACCUAUCAUUGUAUCCUACAGGCCACCCAUCCUCAUUCCUAUUACUUAGAAUUUUGCAUUUUUGCCACUGUGAUGUGAGGGGAGGUAAAUUUUACCGUUAGACUCUAAUGAACAUUCUUCAGUGCCAGGAGAGAUGGAGCACAAGAGAGAGAGUUUAUUCUUACUACCUGUUGUCAGGUAGAGCCAGCUGGGAGCAGAGAAAAGGAUGAUUGUGCCUGUAUAUCCCAUAUUUUAUUUUCUUAUUUUAAUAUCUUACUAUCUGUGUUUUCUUGUUCCAGCUGUUUAUUUCCUUUUUCCAGCCACCUUUUGGAUUUAUUUUAUGAUUCCAUUUUUCUAUGUUUUAUUAUAGUCUAUCUUUAAAUGAUAUUAUACCUCUUCACUAAUAGUAUACUUCCAUCUCCUGUGAGUAUUUCUUUUGCAUACUGGCCAGGUCAAAGUAGAUUUAUAGUUGUGAGUAUGUGAAACAGUUUAUUCUUAUAUUAUUACUAGAGGCCCGAUGCACAAAAUUUGUGCAAGAAUAGGCCUUCCUUCCCCCAGCUGCCGGCACCGGCUUCCCUCUGGCAAGUGGGACCUGGGCUUCCCUCCCAGCCCCAGCUUCAUCUAGAAGGUCACCCGGAAGGACUUCUGGUCUAAUUAGCAUAGUAUAAUUUUAUUACUAUAGAUUUAUUAUUUUCCAUACAAACAGCUGUAAGCCUACUUUUUUUUUUUUUAAUGCUCACCCGAGGAUAUUUUUCCAUUGAUUUUUAGAGAGAGUGGAAGGUAGAGGGAGAGACAGAGGGAAACACCGAUGUGAGAGAGACAUAUCAAUUGGUUGCCUCCUGUAUGCCCCCUACCAAGGCCAGGAGCCUGCAACCACUUUUUGGUAUGUGCCCUUGAUUGGAAUUGAACCCUGGACCCUUCUAUCCACUCCUCUGUCUACUGAGUCAACCCAGCUAGGGCUGUAAGCCUACUUUUGCCAUACCCUACAUGUUAUAAACCCCACAAUGAAUUAUUAUUUUUGUUCAAAAAAUAAUCUUUUAAAGACAUUUAAACAAUAAGAGAAAAAACUUAUAUAUUUACCCAUGUAGUUACUACCUCUCCCAGGGCUCUUCAUUCCUUUGUGUAAAUUCAUAUUCCCAUCUGCUAUUAUUUUUCUUCUGCCUAAAGAACUCCCUUUUACAUUUCUUAGUGGGGAUGUUGCAGUAUGGUGGCAAAUCCUUUCAGCUUUGUAUGUCUGAAAAUGUCAUCAUAUUACUUUUUUUUAACAUGGUAUUUUACAUUUGGUAGCAUUCUAGGUUGAUAAUUUUAUAACUUUUGGAAGAAAAAUCUGCUGUUACAUAAAUACUCAUCUUUCAUUGUAUGCUGAGUCCAUUAAAGCAUUUUGCCCCUUGAAACUCAGCAAAACUUUUUUUUUUUUUUCCCCAAAAAGCCAGGCUCUGCCCAGCCAGCAUGGCUCAGUUCAAUUGAACCAGGAGGUCACAGUUCAAUUCCUGGUCAGGGCACAUGGACUUGAUCCCCAGUGUGAGGUGUGUAGGAGGCAGCUGAUCAAUGAUUCUCUCUGAUCAUUAAUGUUUCUAUCUUAGUCUCUCCUUCUCUCUUCCUCUCUGAAAUCAAUAAAAGUAUAUUUAAUAAUAAAAAAAAGCCAGGCCCCAAUAAUAGAACACAAUGCUAAGGCCUUUAUUUUUUGAAUUAUCUUUCUUGUUGAAAGUAUUACAGAUGCCCCCGUUUACUUCCCAUGGACCCCCUCCACCCCUCAGCUAUUCCCAGUCCCCCCAGGCCUUCACCACACUAUCAUGUGUGUCCAUGGGUUAUGCAUAUAUGCUUAUAAAUUCUUUGGUUAAUCUCUCCCCACCAACCCCCCUAGCCCUGCCUUUCCUCUGAGAUUCAUCAGUCUGUUCCAUGCUUCUAUGUCUCUGGAUCAGUCUUGUUCGUCAGUUUAUUUUGUUCAUUAGAUUCCACAUAUGAGUGAGAUCAUGUGAUACUGUUUUCUCUGAGUGGCUUAUUUUGUUUAGCAUGAUACUCUCCAGGUCCUUCCAUGCUGUCUCAAAGGUACCCAUCAGUAGAUGUGGAUAGAAAAGCUGUGGCCUACUAUGCAGCUGUAAAAAAGAAGACUCUCAUGCUGAGGCCUUUAGAUGUCUAAUUUGAAACUAAAGCUGAAUUGACUUCUUUGUAUUUGGCUGUCUUAAAAGUAUAGGAAAAGUUAUGGGCUCGGGGUAGCAGGAGGAAGAAAAUAUUUCAGGUAACAGACCUUGUAGUGUUUCCAUUCUGUGGUUUUCCAUAGCAUUUAUUACUUAUCUUU